GAUGAACGCUGGCGGCGUGCCUAAUACAUGCAAGUCGAGCGAACGGACGAGAAGCUUGCUUCUCUGAUGUUAGCGGCGGACGGGUGAGUAACACGUGGAUAACCUACCUAUAAGACUGGGAUAACUUCGGGAAACCGGAGCUAAUACCGGAGAAUAUUUUGAACCGCAGGGUUCAAAAGUGAAAGACGGUCGUGCUGUCACUUAUAGAUGGAUCCGCGCUGCAUUAGCUAGUUGGUAAGGUAACGGCUUACCAAGGCAACGAUGCAUAGCCGACCUGAGAGGGUGAUCGGCCACACUGGAACUGGGACACGGUCCAGACUCCUACGGGAGGCAGCAGUAGGGAAUCUUCCGCAAUGGGCGAAAGCCUGACGGAGCAACGCCGCGUGAGUGAUGAAGGUCUUCGGAUCGUAAAACUCUGUUAUUAGGGAAGAACAUAUGUGUAAGUAACUGUGCACAUCUUGACGGUACCUAAUCAGAAAGCCACGGCUAACUACGUG
rnacentral:rRNA from 1 species